ensembl:lncRNA
AGAUAGCAUACCCAGGUAAAGAAGUCACCGCUUGUCACUGGUUUAUGGUUGUUCUGCUUUUCUAAGCCAGUCUACACUUUAUCCAGCUCUGCAGGUCAAAUCUUGGCUCUCUCUGUCUAGUUCUUUCAAAGGUCUCUCUCUCUGCUGUUCCCUCCGCUUCCCACUCCUCUCCGCUCACCCUCUCCUGCAAACUCAGUGGAUUCUACCCUGACAACGUGUCUAUUCUCUGGAUCCAGAAUGGAAAGGUUCUUCCUAACUGUACUUUGUCCGUCCAGAAUGAGGAAGGAAUGUACGGGAGACAUCAGUAUCUCACCCUGAGUGCGGAGGAGAGGAGCAGAGGAGGAGAGGUGCAGUGUGUGGCCAGCCACCUGAUGUGAAAGAACCUGCCUUUGGAACUAUUGACCUCUCCGCCGUUGACCCACAAGAGAAGCUGAAGUCUCUGAACAUCUCAGCGAUUGUUCUGCCCCCCAGGGUGGUUGUGAGUAAGAAAGGCAGAGUCACCAUCAGUGUGGAAGGCAGGUUGGCAGAGAGAGUACAGACCACAUGGUUUCUCAAUGAUGUCCCCAUUACAGACACUGCAUACAGAGAGAAAAAAUAUGGUCCUUUUUGCUUGGCAGCCUAUACUCCUCACAGCUCUCAUGUGUCUUUGGUGUCGGAGAAAAGCUCUCUGCUGCCCUCUGCUGCUGCCUCAGGAUAUUACAAGCUGCACACUCAGAUGUUGCCAUGCUUGUUCUCCUGCUCCAUGAAGCAGCUGUUCUCCUCCGUCACAUUUAUAACAAACCUGUCCAUUCACAAGGGUGCAGUUUUCAAAUGCCACAUCUCGUAUAAGGGCAAAGACAAGCUUGUGGCCAAGAGAGUUUCCGACAAGUUUACUAUUCAAGCACCACCUGAAGUUUCAUUGAUCCAGUUCUCAGAGUCAAAUGAGGAAGGAGGCGUUGUGACCAUGAUGGCCCAGGCCUCUGGCUUUCAUCCGGACAUCACCACCUUCCGCUGGUUCUGUGAGGGCAGCGAGCUGAGCCCCGUGUCUGUCCCGCAGGUGCUGGCGGCCCCUCGGCCAGAUGCUGCAGGCUUCUUCUCUUCUUCUGCAGGCCCCCGCCGCAGAGCUGGAGCGAGGGGAGACCCAGGUGUGGGUCACUGUCCACCACACGGCCCUCAAACAGCGCCUCACACACCAGACUAGAGGUGACAUAACUGAGCACUUGUGAUU